GUCGGUUUGAUUUUAAUUUGUUUUUCUGCCCGAUUUCGAAUUUUUAGAGAAAUAAAUUUUUUUUUUAUAUUGAAGAGAGGUAAGAUGUGAUGUAUAUAAAAAUAAUCGUACAUACAAUAUAUGUACUUCAUGAUCAAACGAUGGAAUAAAAGCACGUAUACUCCUUUGAAUAUAAGCUCGAAAUUAACGAACAAACCGGAACCCG
rnacentral:lncRNA from 1 species